GACGAACGCUGGCGGCAUGCCUAACACAUGCAAGUCGAACGGAGAAUUCCUUCGGGAAUUCUUAGUGGCGAACGGGUGAGUAACGCGUAGGCAACCUGCCCUUUGGAUGGGGACAACAUUCCGAAAGGAGUGCUAAUACCGAAUGUGACGAUUUUACCGCAUGGUUUAAUCGUGAAAGAUGGCCUCUACAUGUAAGCUAUCGCCAAAGGAUGGGCCUGCGUCUGAUUAGCUAGUUGGUGGGGUAACGGCUCACCAAGGCGACGAUCAGUAGCCGGUCUGAGAGGAUGAACGGCCACAUUGGGACUGAGACACGGCCCAGACUCCUACGGGAGGCAGCAGUGGGGAAUAUUGGGCAAUGGGGGAAACCCUGACCCAGCAACGCCGCGUGAAGGAAGAAGGCCUCGGUU
rnacentral:rRNA from 1 species